rfam:Dictyostelium discoideum AX4 chromosome 3, whole genome shotgun sequence.
AUCUUUACGCUGGGACUAAAGCAGUAGGGCGUGACCGAUAAGGGAUCCACUGUUAUUGCUUUUUGCAAACUAUUUCCACAAACGCAACACGACUUGUUUCGGGUUGCAAUUUUUGUCACUAUCCUAUUCUUGGAUA